UAUAACAACACUAUUCUAAUCAUGGGAUUAGAAUAACUAUUUGCAUCACAGCGCCCCUUAUAGAAGCAGACGAUGAUGUUCCCGAACUCCACACAAGAAGAAAAAAUGAACCCACCCUGAACCCCACUCUCCCCACCUCCUGUGACCAACUUGUUCGAUCCCAUCCCCCGCCGCCGCGGGCCGGCGAGCAAACUCGCCCCGUACGGUGAACCCCGCCGCCGCGCGCCGCUCGCCCACCGUAGUGCGCCCCGUCAACCUCCGCCAUCGUGGGUCGCCCAUCCACCGCGUCUCACCUGGAAAACCCGGCCACCGCACGCUUCCCAACCAUCGCGUCGCGCGCCGCCAUCCACACCGCCGCGCGCGUCUGUAAUCCCCGCCUCCAUGACUCCUCCUUUGUCGUUCCAUUCUGCGGCAGCAAAUUUCGACGGCCAUCCCAUUGAACAGCUUGGAUCCAGGGCGUCAGCGAGCAACUGCACCCCCACAGUCGCGCGACACCCUAGCAGGUGCAGGGGGGACGAGAGGGACGAAGACGUGGCAAAGGAGCUCCAGUUCGAUCUGCUCGGCCGCCGGCGGAGGAGCGGAGCCCCCUGCGCGCAGGUCUAGCCUGAUUCUUCUCGUCCUCCUCGUGCGUUUAGAGGCCUCCCACGCUCGAGCUCCUACAGGUGAUAGGCAUCUCGUUCUUGCCGAUUGUUGUUGCCGCCACUGAGCUUCUCUGAUUCACCACUAUUAUUUGCAAUUCGCCCAUGCCUCUGUUUCUCUGGACCAGAAGAAAGAGAGAAGUUCAUCCUAGCCGAGAGACACAGUUGAGUGGACACGAGCAGGCAAGGUGCUUCUCCUAUCACGUCUCCUGGCAGAACUGGAAAUCUAGUCAGCGUGCAGGUUCUUGUGCAGGUGGGUGUGCUGGUGUAGUUUUUCAGUUGACGAUCUAGCUAGCGCACUUUUUUCAGGUUGGCACCGUUCAGUUUGAAAAGGUACAUCAGUUCAUUUAGUGAAUACGCCACCAAUUAAAUUUGGAAAGUACACUGUUAAGCACUUCUCCAUCUAGAUUUGUUCUUGUUUAUGCCCCUCAAAGUAGAUGAUUCCUCGUAGCUGAACUGUCAAAAGUCUAUACUACAUUUUUUUGUAACUUCAGUGUAAUGAGCAGAUGAGGGCACCAGCAACGGACCAGCGGCGACUGAGCCUUCUCUCAUCCAGAUCCCCGCGGACGUGUGUCCUCAAUGCCAUGAGUUGGCCCUGCUCAACCUCUGUCUCCAGGACGAAGAUGAUGUCCACGGUGCUGCCCAGCGGGAAGGGCAACAAAAAAGUUGCAAAAAAUGCUAGUGCAGCUGAUUGCCUCCUCUGUGUUGCGAUGUACUAUGUUGUGUAGAUUUUUUGAAGUUCAUGUUGUGAACCCAACUAAGUUUGAGCACAAAAGUUUAGAUGUCGACUGGUGUGAAUUUUCUCCUAUAGCAGAAAUCUCGCUUCCUUACUGUUGUACUAUGUCCACUUGUGUGUUGUUUGUCAAUGCUUUUUUUGAAGUACAGUA